GAAAAAAUAAUUUUGAUAAUAAUUCAGAAUAAUUGUAAGCAUAGCCAAUAAAUAUUGUAAGCAUAAUGGCAUAUAUCUGAUAAUCUGAAGCACUAGAGAAUAGCAUAAUGUAAUGAAAUGGUGGAAUAAUAUGCCAAAGCCUAUCCCCAGCUCAACUAGUCACACGUAAUGGGCCUGUUGGCCACACCCAACAUUAAAAAUGGCUUCCAGUAGAGGAGCACUAGUCCUGUCUUUUCGAGUUAUUGGGAGGUAUUAUUCAUCUCAGACUUAUCGAUUGAUUGGGAAACCAGAUGAAAAGUCUAACCUAAUCCUAGUGAAAUGAGACCACCUAGCAAUCAUGCUGAAUCGAAGUUACAAAUGUUAGAGCAACAAAUUUAUGAUUUUAAUCAUACUUUUUGGAAGGAACACAAUAUUGAAUUCCAACAGGCAAAAUCUGACUACAUUAAUAAAUUGUUAUCAACGACAAAUCUUACCAGAAAUGAAUUAACAUCAAAUCAUUUAAUGGAAUUUCAUAGAUCGUUUCUUAAUGGCAAGUAUCAGACUCACAAGCAAUAUUUA